rnacentral:rRNA from 1 species
GACGGAGGGUGCAAGCGUUGCUCGGAAUCAUUGGGCGUAAAGGGUGCGUAGGCGGCUUCUUAAGUCUGACGUGAAAGCCCAGGGCCCAGCCUUGGAAGUGCGUCAGAAACUGAGAAGCUUGAGUGCCGGAGGGGAGAGUGGAAUUCCUGGUGUAGCGGUGAAAUGCGUAGAUAUCAGGAGGAAUACCGGUGGCGAAAGCGACUCUCUGGACGGCAACUGACGCUGAGGCACGAAAGCGUGGGUAGCAAACAGG